CGCGCAUGGUGGAUUCACUAUCCACUGCCUUGAUCCACUUGGCUACAUCCGC
rnacentral:tRNA from 1 species